rnacentral:rRNA from 1 species
CCUACGGGUGGCAGCAGUCGGGAAUUUUGGGCAAUGGGCGAAAGCCUGACCCAGCAACGCCGCGUGAAGGAUGAAGUAUUUCGGUAUGUAAACUUCGAAAGAAUGGGAAGAAUAAAUGACGGUACCAUUUAUAAGCUCCGGCUAACUACGUGCCAGCAGCCGCGGUAAUACGUAGGGAGCAAGCGUUGUUCGGAUUUACUGGGCGUAAAGGGCGCGUAGGCGGCGUGUUAAGUCAGCUGUGAAAUCUCUGAGCUCAACUCAGAACGGCCAGCUGAUACUGAUGUGCUAGAGUGCAGAAGGGGCAACCGGAAUUCUUGGUGUAGCGGUGAAAUGCGUAGAUAUCAAGAGGAACACCUGAGGCGAAGGCGGGUUGCUGGGCUGACACUGACGCUGAGGCGCGAAAGCCAGGGGAGCAAACGGGAUUAGAUACCCCGGUAGUC